UACGUAGGGGGCUAGCGUUGUCCGGAAUUAUUGGGCGCAAAGAGCGUGUAGGCGGCCAUUUAGGUCCGGUGUGAAAACUCGAGGCUUAACCUCGAGAUGUCAUCGGAAACCAUUUGGCUAGAGUCCGGAAGAGGAGAGUGGAAUUCCUGGUGUAGCGGUGAAAUGCGCAGAUAUCAGGAAGAACACCAAUGGCGAAAGCAGCUCUCUGGGACGGUACUGACGCUGAGACGCGAAAGCGUGGGGAGCGAACAGG
rnacentral:rRNA from 1 species